UACAGAGGGUGCAAGCGUUAAUCGGAAUUACUGGGCGUAAAGCGUGCGUAGACGGUUACAUAAGUCGGGUGUGAAAGCCCCGGGCUCAACCUGGGAAUUGCAUUCGAGACUGCGUAGCUAGGGUGCGGAAGAGGGAAGCGGAAUUUCCGGUGUAGCGGUGAAAUGCGUAGAUAUCGGAAGGAACACCAGUGGCGAAAGCGGCUUCCUGGACCAGUACCGACGUUCAGGCACGAAAGCGUGGGGAGCAAACAGG
rnacentral:rRNA from 1 species